AUGAUCACCAAUGCCCAAAAUAAUAACUUGCUGGUGGGUUUGGCUUCGGAUCUUAUCCCUAAUGGAGUUGCGGUGCUCCAAUAUGCAGACGAUACUAUUAUCUGUCUGGAACAUGAUGUUUAUAAGGCAGUAAACCUGAAGUUACUGUUGUACAUCUUCGAGCUAAUGUCUGGACUUAAAGUGAACUAUCAGAAAAGAGAGAUUUUCACUGUGGGGGCGAUGAGAGCACGGUGA
rnacentral:rRNA from 1 species